rnacentral:rRNA from 1 species
UUGGCUUUACCCGAAGGCGCUGCGCUAACCCGCAAGGGAGGCAGGCGACCACGGUGGGGUCAGCGACUGGGGUGAAGUCGUAACAAGGUAGCCGUAGGUGAACCUGCAGAAGGAUCA